CCAUCUUACUUGUCACGUUUGCAUCACUGGUUGCUGUUUAUGUUGUUGGGGGGUUCCUAUACCAGCGACUGGUAGUGGGAGCCAAAGGAAUGGAGCAGUUUCCCCACUUAGCCUUCUGGCAGGAUCUUGGCAACCUGGUAGCAAAAGGGAACGGAAGCAGAAGUGGGACAUCGAGGGCUCUGCUGUCCUCUGCGCUGGGUGUGGAAUGCUGCUGCACCUGUCCCUUCUGCUGGCUCAGGGAAGUGUCUUCUUGCCCACAUUUCUGUGGGGAAAGGUUUUUAAUCCUCUGAUGCUUCCAUCUUCCUGUUUAGGCCAUGUGCCCAGAAACCUGGACUGAUCUUUCUUUAAUAGUGAACCCCUGGGCCACUGAAGAGUAACAUGGCUCCACUGGACACAAAAGAGGGAUGGAAUCAACAGGCAGGGGGCCUUUUAUAAGCCUUAGGAAAAGAAAAUGAAACUAUUUCAUCUUUGGACUUUUCAAUACUAUUGGAGUGAUUUUUUUCUUUCUAAACAGGGAAAAUAAUGUUACAAAAGCAUCUUUUUUGUUAUUUGUUUGCAUCCCUCCCCCACACCCUGGUGUUUUAAAAUGAAGAAAAAAAACCAUCACCUUUUGUACAAAAACUCUUAAUGAUUAAAAAACAAACAAAACA
rnacentral:lncRNA from 1 species